CCUACGGGAGGCAGCAGUGAGGAAUAUUGGUCAAUGGACGAGAGUCUGAACCAGCCAAGUAGCGUGAAGGAUGACUGCCCUACGGGUUGUAAACUUCUUUUAUAAAGGAAUAAAGUGUUCCACGUGUGCCUUUUUGUAUGUACUAUAUGAAUAAGGAUCGGCUAACUCCGUGCCAGCAGCCGCGGUAAUACGGAGGAUCCGAGCGUUAUCCGGAUUUCUUGGGUUUAAAGGGAGCGUAGAUGGGUUGUUAAGUCAGUUGUGAAAGUUUGCGGCUCAACCGUAAAAUUGCAGUUGAAACUGGCAGUCUUGAGUACAGUUGAGGUAGGCGGAAUUCGUGGUGUAGCGGUGAAAUGCUUAGAUAUCACGAAGAACUCCGAUUGCGAAGGCAGCUUACUAAACUGCCACUGACAUUGAUGCUCGAAAGUGUGGGUAUCAAACAGGAUUAGAUACCCGGGUAGUC
rnacentral:rRNA from 1 species